rnacentral:rRNA from 1 species
CCUACGGGAGGCAGCAGUGGGGGAUAUUGCACAAUGGGGGGAACCCUGAUGCAGCGACGCCGCGUGGGUGAAGAAGCGCCUCGGCGCGUAAAGCUCUGUCAGCAGGGAAGAAAAUGACGGCACCUGAAGAAGAAGCCCCGGCUAACUACGUGACAGCAGCCGUGGGAAUACGUAGGGGGCAAGCGUUAUCCGGAUUUACUGGGUGUAAAGGGGGCGCAGCCGGGUGUGUAAGUCAGGAGUGAAAGUCCGGGGCCCAACCACGGGACUGCUGUUGGAACUGGGUGGCUGGAGUGCAGGAGGGGCAGGCGGAAUGCGUGGUGUAGCGGUGAAAUGCAUAGAUAUCAGGAGGAACACCGAUGGCGAAGGCAGCCUGCUGGACUGCAACUGACGUUGAGGCACGAAAGCGUGGGGAGCAAACAGGAUUAGAUACCCUUGUAGUC